GCCAGACCCAUAUCUCCCUGCAGUUCUCGCCUGGUUUCCUCUGAAGCUAAGCAGGGUUGAGCCUGGCCAGUACCUGUAUAGGAGAGCUCCUGGGGAAAACUAAGGUUGCUGCUGGAA
rnacentral:rRNA from 1 species